rnacentral:rRNA from 1 species
UACAUGGGGUGCAACCGUUGCUCGGAAUUAUUGGGCGUAAAGCGCACGUAGGCGGAUAUGUCAGUCAGGGGUGAAAUCCCGGGGCUCAACCUCGGAACUGCCCUUGAUACAGCAUGUCUUGAGUCCGAUAGAGGUGGGUGGAAUUCCUAGUGUAGAGGUGAAAUUCGUAGAUAUUAGGAAGAACACCGGUGGCGAAGGCGGCCCACUGGAUCGGUACUGACGCUGAGGUGCGAAAGCGUGGGGAGCAAACAGG